AUGGACGUCGCGCAGGAUGCGCACAGUACAUAACAGGGACACGGAAGGAUUUCCUGCCAGGACGGCGGGACGAAAAGGAUGUCAGGGAAACAGUCUGCAAAACCCCGCUUCGGCGGGGUUUU
rnacentral:sRNA from 3 species